rnacentral:rRNA from 1 species
UACAGAGGGUGCAAGCGUUGUUCGGAAUUAUUGGGCGUAAAGCGCGUGUAGGCGGCCAAGCAUGUCGGGUGUGAAAGCCCUGGGCUUAACCCAGGAAGUGCGCCCGAAACUACGUGGCUUGAGUGUCGGAGAGGAUGGCGGAACUCCCGGUGUAGAGGUGAAAUUCGUAGAUAUCGGGAAGAACACCAGUGGCGAAGGCGGCCAUCUGGACGACAACUGACGCUGAGACGCGAAAGCGUGGGGAGCAAACAGG